UAACGUACAAAUACUCGUUCUCAUGUGGGGCCUGGAUCUGCACAUGUGUCCCGUCUAUGCAGCCCACGAUCCCAGGCAUACCGGACGCCUGGCGGAACCGUUCCUUCAUCGCCGCCGCCUCUUCCUCGUUCGUGAGGUGGACGUAACGAGCGAUGCGGCGGCUCAAAGCCAGGGAAACCCUCCGGAUUACCCGACAGGCGGUCGAUCUAUGGACCCUCACCAUGUCGCUUACAGUGUUCUGAAAAGCCCCGUUUGCGAAAAAACGAAGCACAAUCAGCAGUUGCAAGGACGGUGGUAGCGCUGCAUUGCGGUCCGACACGAACUGUAAAUCCGGUGACAGCUCUUCUAUUAAUUCAAACAGAUCUCUCCUACAGAAUCGAAACCUCUCAAUCAGCUCCUCGUCAUUAUAAAUGUCCAAUGGAUUGCUUCUGUCCCUAAUUACCCUUUCCCGUCUAAAUGCCCGCUCGUUGUACACCCUAUGGAUAAUACGUGCCAUAUUAGCGCUGGAUGGAUUGAUUGUAACGUUUUUUUUAUUAUUGUAAUUGCUAUGGAAACGGCAGAAAUUUCGACUCUACGCCUCCCCCUGACCAGGCGUAGGAUUUACGCCUUGGUCUUAGUGAAAAGAACGCUAAGCCCAGUUGGUGCAACCGGCGUAACGGUUAGGUUGGACUUAGAACGCCAAGUUACGACCAGGCGUAGUUACGACCAGGCUUACGCCCAGUUGGUGCAACCGGCCCCAGACCUGACAAUGACAACUUAUUGAUAUGAUGGGAGAUGAAGUGAGUAUAUAGCCGUUUAUUGUUUGUUCCUUUCUGAAUGUGGUAAAUAUGCAGGCAUAGCCUCUGUUUAAUGGUAGCUCCUGUUUCGCCCACAUAGAUACUCCUGCAUGGUCUGCACUGGAUGGCGUAGACGACGUUGCAGGAGAGUAGUGUGAAGGUCUGCGAGAUGGGGACACCGGCUCGAGAGUUAUAGAUAUACUUCAGGUUAGAGAAAUAGGGGUCAAAGGUUGUGCGUAUUUCCUUGUUAAGUGCCGUAUGGACUAAAAUGUCCUGUAGGUUUUUAUUACGGCGGUAGGACAUUAGUAUUUUAAAAGAAGCGAGUGGGGCAGUUUGAGGUAUGGCAGAAUUAAAAAGUUGCUUAAUAGCUUGCUUGAGGGGGCCUAGUUGUCGCGAGAAUGUAGUAAUUAAUGGAAUUAAAUUUUGCUCUGUGUUCUUUUUUUUCAGGGAGAACGGGCCGGUCUGGCUGGAAGAGGGCGGUCACUUCCCCUUUAAUAGUCAGAAGAAAACGUUUGGAAUAGCCGCGGGGUCUAAGGGCCUUGAAAAGGGUCCUGGUGGCCUCCUCUACGUGAGGGGGUAGAGAACAGAUGCAGUGGAAACUGAUUAGUUGGGACUUGAUGAUGGAGCUGAAAGUAUGCCGGGGAUGGUAGCUGGUGUUAAAUACUAAGGAAUGUCUGUCAGUGUCUUUAAAAUAAACCUUGGUUGCUAAUGUUUUGUGUCCAUCCUUCGUGUCGGUGAAGAAAACGACUGUCUAGGAAGGGGACCUGCUGGAGAUGGAGAGUGUGUUUAAGUUUGAUACGGGGGUGGUGUGAGUUAAGGAUCUGUAUAAAAUGGUUAAAUUCCGUUUCUGAUUUGUCCCAGAGGCCAAAGAUAUCGUCUAAGUAACGGAAAUAGACUAGGGGGCGUGACGGGCAUUUAAGGAAUGCAGAUUCCUCCCAGUCUGCCAGAUAGAUGUCCGCGUAAGCCGGUGAAUAUUUCCUUCCCAUUGCGCAGCCGCAUAUUUGUAAAAAUAAGUAUUUAUCAAAUAAAAAGUUGUUGCGGGUAAGGGUAAUUUCUAAAAACUUUAAAAUAAAUGUGUCGGGACGAGAUGAAUCCGGUGACGGAAGACAAUGCUUUCUUCACAGCCUCGUGGCCCAGGACAGUGUCGAUGUUCGUGUACAAGGAGUCAACGUCGAUUGAAAAGAUAAACGUGUUAUCAGGGACGGUGAGAUUCUUCAACUUGUUGACCAAGGUGUAUGUGUCCUUAAGGUAGCUCGGGUGAGUGUGGGAUAGGGGGUUAAUGUAAAAGUCUAUGAACUCCGCCAGGUGGUAUGAUUCGGAGCCACAGUUGCUAACUAUGGGGCGUCCUGGAGCAACCACGAAUGGAACAGUCCAAUUCUCUGGGGUUUUAUGUAUUUUGCAAAUUGUAAUACAGGAUCGUACUAAUUACAUUCUGGAGGCGACACGUCAACUUAAUGACCCGGUCUACUAUCGCCCUCUCACGGAUCCUAUGUACCUUGAGACUCAGACAAUGGUUAGGCUUUUAAUUGACCAGAUGAGGAAAAAGCAUCUCAUCAGCGCAAAACAGGCACACUACCUAUACGGCCCGGAUCUCCCUCGGGCGAGAUUAUUUUACCUUCUCCCCAAAAUACAUAAAAGAUAUUGAGGACGGAGGGGACGGCGCUGCGCCUGGUGGUCUGGCUAUAAAUCCAGCUGGCUUAGCCAGUCGUCCAGCAUAGACUUUGCUGUCUCUGGAGUCCAAUGAAUAUUGUCAUGGACAGUCUGGAAUUUAAGCGUCGACAGUGUGUUGAGAUAACCAGCACGUGAGUCAACGUCCUCGAUAUUCUCCCUCACAAAGUCAUUAAAAGACUUGACACAACGGAGUUGGGUGGCGGAUAGCCUGAUAGAUACAGUUAUGAGGGGAAUUGCAAUGCGAGCCUGGGGGAAUGUUUCUCUGGCCGUCCUAAUUAAACGUCGGGUGUCCUUAAUUAUUGUGAUAGCUGUCUGUUGUCUAAGGAAGUUGUUUAUGCCGAUAGACAUUAAGAUGAGCUGGGUGAUUCUCCGAAUCCGGUGCCUUUUGUGUUCCACAGGUUUACGUCAAAGAUUUAAACACAAAAUAAACCACAAAAUGCAUUUUGAAACAAGAUAUGGAAAGAUCCAUGUGUCUUUGCAUUGUAAAACAAACAUAUUUUUUAAAUUAUGUUUUGAAAAACAUUAUGGGUUGCUGAAGUAUCGUGGUCAGCCAAAUGAGCAUGUCCCCACUAACCAAAGUUACUUUUUCAUUGAAUGUAAAACAAAUAAAAAUAGCCAGCAACAGCAAGAUUUUUCUGCUAAUAUAAUCAUUUGCCGGUCUACUUUAACCUAAACAAAAGAAAUAUGAGAAAAAUACAUGAAUUAUUUAUAAAUUUGCACUAUUUAAUCAUGUCCCCUAGUUUUGUUCAACCCCGUAACAGCAUACCAAUCCCCCCCCUUUUUUAAAUAAUGGUUCAGUCCAACUUCCGAAGCACCCAGGAAGUGACAUCACACAAGUCUUUUCCCGCUCACAACGUAAAGAGAGGUAAGUGUGUGCAUGCUUUCUUACCUAUAUUUGAUCGUUUUUAUCAUCAGACUGACAUCGUCAAGCUCAACCUUUCAGCACUGUUACAUGCAUAACUGAUAUAUACUAUUAUUUGGGGGAAAGCAAACAAUUGUCUUGGGAAAAUAUAUUAUUUUUUGUUUCCCUCAUGCCAUAGCUGCUCCAUAACCUCUAGCUAAUGUGGACUUGUGGCUACAUUAAGCUAAAAUCUUCAACCCCGUAACAUUCAACCCCGUAACAAAAAACACUGUUACGGGGUUGAAUCAUUGUUACAGGGUUGAAGGUUGGACUGUUCUUAGGCCAGCCAGCCAGCCUAUAUCUGUUAAUUCAUGUUCAUUACUUUCAGAUGGCUAAAUCAAAUGCUGAGAGGCAAAGGGAAUACAGGGCGAGAAGAAACGCCGUUUCAGAGAGAAGGGAAGACUACCUAAGGAAAGAGAGAGAGAGAUGGAAAAGAGAUACAGACGCAGGGAAAAAGAAAGCAAUCAGUGACCUGAGUGAGAGAGGUCAAAGAGUGGAGAGUGGUGGGUUGUAUAAAGUCAAGGGGUAGACUACAUACUUCAUGUAAUAUUGACAUACAGACAGACAGACGGACAACACAUACAUACACAUAGAAAGCCAUGGUGGUCAAUUAUUGCACCCUAAUGUCCUAGUGUAUCUAAUUGCUAUGUCACUACUAAUGUAAAACUAACGAUCCCCUUUCCAUGUGUUUCAUCUUAGUCAUUCAGCAGGCAAGAAAGCAUCCAGAAAAACAAGAGACAAACUGCGCAAAGAAAACGAAGAACUAAAAAGGAAACUCAAACAUCAGAAGAAGCAGAAAGAAAAAUACAAGAAAAGACUCCAGCGAGCAACCAAGAAUAAAGACUCUCCCAGGUGCAAAGUCUGUCAGUUGCUGAGGAAUUGUACUGUGAACAGCAAGGUGAGGAGAACUUUACUGCACCACAAAGCCUUAAUUUCGGAUAUUAGGUGGAAAUACAAGAAUGCGCGAAAGGAACAAGGAAAGAAAACGGUUUCUGAAGUUGUUGUUGGGAAGAUUGUUAAAAAAUACAGGCUGCAGAGGUGGUCUGAGACCGCACUAGGCUUCUCAAAGAAACGCAUAACCUUGAGUGAGAGAAAAGCAGGUACACUGAUAAAUCUCUGGUGAGCAAGGUGAGGGCAUUCUUCUCAAGAGAUGAUGCAAGUCGGAUGACGACAGGGAAAAAGCAAACAAUAACAAAGAAAAAAAUGAAAAUGCAAAAACGAUUCCUUGUAGACACGAUGAAAAACCUCCACAGGAAGUUUCUGGCAGAAAACAACACCAGCCACAUUUCCUAUGCCUCAUUUUAACGGCUGCGACCCUUUUGGGUUGUCCACCCCUCCCUUUCAGACCGUGACACAUGCCAGUGCAGGUUACAUGAAAACCUAGACUUUCUGGCUGACAAGCUUUGUCAGCCUAAAGUUAUUGGAACUUCAAAUUUAGAGAGCCUCACAGAACUUGUCUGCUGUGACAUUGGCAGCAAGACCUGCAUGUAUGGAGAAUGUGAAGACUGCAAGAGCAGAAAUGUUACCCUCUCAAACUCGUAUGAUGGUGCACAGAAGGUGACCUAUAUGCAGUGGGCCACAGAAGACAAAGCAAAAUCAAAUGAUGAGAGCUCGGUCGCAAAAAUAACAGUAAAACAAACCAUUGAGAGCAGUCAAGAGGAGCUUGUAGAGAGGUUCCAUACACACCUCACUAAGUUCAAGAGGCAUCUCUUCAAUAUCAGGCAACAGUAUGCCUAUUACCGUGGACUGCGCAGCUGCAUGGCCAAUGAUGAAUGCCUUAUCCACAUUGACUUCUCUGAGAACUUUUCUUGUAAGUGUUACGUAUUUUAAGAAUCUAAGCUACCCACACAUAGACCCAAUGAAGAUGGACCAAACAUAUAAGCCGUAAUUACUAUACAUAGCCACAAGGGGAGCAAGACCUUAUUGGAGGCUGCUCCAGCCACAGAUAGCAGUGCUUUUAUAUAUACGAAGAAGCCGAAGCCAGUACGGCACCCCGGCCACGCCCACUAGGCCACGCCCACUUGACGGUCUCUUACCUGUGCACCCAGUGUGAAGAGACCAGAGAUUUUCAGCGACACCCGCGAAGGGUCACGGGCCUCUGCCCGUGGCCCAUAGUAGCCAGAGUUAUUAUCUCUCACACGUGUUCUACACGAUUCCUAGAAUUCCCUCCGUAUAGCUUCACUUACCAUGCCGAAACAUGCCGACGACUUUAUAAUAAAUGAAGUGAGUUUAAAGCAACCCGGGAUUGGACAACUUUCUUCGAGAAUAUGCAAUAUAAGUACAGUACUGAAAUUCAGUCAGUACACUUUGGAUCAUCACACCAACAGGCCACACUGCACACAGGGGUCAUCUAUGUUGGUGGAACUCAAGAGCCAACCUGCUUUACCUCCAUCUCACCAUCCAAGCACAAGAGUCCAGCAGCCAUAUGGGAACAUUUGAAACCUGUACUGGACUAUGUACAGACCACACAUCCAGAGGUUUCUGUUGUGCACAUGUUUAGUGAUGGACCCUGUACAGAGAAAAAGGAAACUUUUUUUCUUUUCAGUACAGAGCUUGACAAGAGAGGACUGAGAGGGACCUGGAAUUUUUUCGAGUCCAGUCACGGCAAAGGAGCACCAGAUGGUGUAGGUGCUGCCUUAAAGAGAUCAGCAGACAACCUCAUCAGCCAUGGCCGGGACAUCAUCAAUGCUUAUGAGCUAUUCAAGGCCCUCUCCGAGACGGACACCUCAAUCAAAUUGUAUUUUAUCGAAAAUGAAGCUGUUGAGCAGGCACUGCAAAGGAUGCCGUCCACCAUUCCACCAGUCCCAGGAACCAUGCGCAUCCAUCAGGUCAUCACUCUUGCUCGAGGGGAGAUAACAUAUCGAGAUGUCAGCUGCAUGUGCUCCACCAAUGGAAAGCUUGAAUGUGAAUGCUGGAAUACAAAGCAUUUCAGCUUUGUCAGCAAAAUCCCAGCUACUGUGUCACCAGCUACUGUGUCCCAAGGGCAGAAACCAAUCAAUUGUGAUGAUCCUGGGGUAAUAGGGGAGUGGUGCGUGCUCACCUACGACAAGGCAUUGUACCCGGGGAUAAUCCUUGCCACAGAUGAAAAGAACGUACAAGUCAAAUGCAUGCACCAUGCUGGAAGAACCAAAAACAGGUUAUUUUGGCCUGUACAAGAGGAUGUGCUGUGGUAUGCAUUUGACGAUGUGCUUCAGCUCAUCCCACCUCCUCAGCCCGUGACAGGACGUGAUUCACGUCACAUGCACAUUCAGAAAGAGAUCUGGGACAGACUGCUUGACUGAAGGAUGAAAUGUUAAUAAAAAUUGUAAUUGUAUAGUGAUUGUAAUGUUUAUUAAAAAAAAGCAAAAUUAUUUGAAUGUUAACAAUACAUUUAUUGUUAAGAGCGUAACUGUGAGUAUGUUACAAACUGAUUCCUGAUUAAACUGAUACAGCGUUCAGCCCAGUCAUUCUUCAUUUUUGUCCUCUCAUAGGACAGAUUAUUUUCAAACAAUGUAAAAUAUUACAUACUUAAUGUUAUGUUUCUCUCCUGUUCAUUUUAAUUAAUUAAUUAAAGUCCAUUUCAGUUUGAUUAAAUGUUGUGUCAUUCAUUCAACCCUGUUACAGUGUGUUCAACUCUGUUACAGUGUGUUCAACCCUGUUACUUGAUAUAUUUUCAUAUAUUUUUGGAAAAUAAUGACAAAUAUUAGAUAAAUGUUUGUUGAACUGUAUGCAAAGUUUGGAGGACAAGUAGAAAAUAUAGGAAAGUCGUAUCUAAUGUUUAUGUUAAAGUAUAUUUUCAGGAUUUAUGAAGACCGCUUGUACAGUAAGUUGCCAUAUCCUACUUGAAAGUUAAAUUAUCAUUAUUUAGAUAUUAUAAAAUAUACUUACAAAAAGUCAUUCUACACAAGGGACAGGUGAUUUACCUUGAUACUGGAAGAAUUAGUUUGAAUAUGUUUUAAAUUAUACUCAUACAGGAAUCAAAUUGUCCUGUUACGGGGUUGAAUUUAUAACAAUCUAAGUGCCAAAGAAACUCCUAAUAAUGUUUGGGAUUUCAUGCCGAAGGUGGGAAAAUGUAUUUUCACAGAGGUUCAAAUAGUCCUUCAUCAGAUGCAAUGUUCAGAAACCCAAUUUUCUGUGGUAUAUUUGUCAGUAACCAGAGAACCCCCCCAGCUAUCUAUCUGGUUGUCGUCCAUUUUUCUUUUUGGGAUGCGGGCCAAGUUGGAAUCGCCCGUGAUAAUCAUGUGUUUUCUAAUAGGCAGGGACCACAUAGUGGCUUUGCGGUUCGUAGGGGGGUGUAUGCAGGGCUGGUGGUAGGAAGCACUGAGCAUAGGGGAAGAGAAAAGGGAAGGAGAAGUCGGGGUUUGGCGCCGCGACUCGGACCUUUCCCCACUGGGACAAGGGCAACAACAGCAGGAGUGGUCAGAGGAGGCGUGAGAGGGCAAGGGUGAAUCUCCACGCAACCUGUGAGUGAGUCAGAGUUCUGAAUUGGGCCAUUCUUAGUGAUGAUUAUCUUGUUCCUUGUCAUGGAAGGUAACACCGUCUGACCAGGUGGUGGAGUGGUCAGCGCCGGCGAGGAGGACGACAGACAGUCGCUUCCGGGUCGCGGCACUUGCGAGGGAGAGACGGUUGGGUCUAGGGGCUGAGGAAGCGGGAAUGGUGACUGGGGGCUCCGGGUCCGGCGUGGGAGAUCCAAGGCUCGUCUCCACGACGCAAGGAGGGUCAAUGACUGCCGAGGUGGUCCGCACCGGUGGGACGACCGGUGGAGGAUGUGGCCUGGUCACUGGUAAGCGCUGUGGGCGUUCUGGUAGCGGGACGCGGGUAGGUCGCGGUGUUUGAGGGGCAGAUGUAGGAAAACGUCCGGUUAUGUUAGGGCAUAGAGUUGGAAGGGUAAGAAGGGAAGGAAUAGUUAGUGGCCUGGACGAUAGCAUUAAGGUGUUUCGAUGCUUGAAAGGUGCCAUAGUGGACUGUGGUCGUCUGGGAAGCGGUGGAAAGGCCCCAAGGUCCGAGAGGAGCAGCGGAGUGGCAGGCGGUGGCGGAUCCGGGGCCGACAGCAGCAGCCGUAGUGCGGAGAUGGAAGACGGAGUAAGGCGUCUGCCAUAACGCUGGUGGGCCCACCGAAGGGCUCUGUCAAGGGCCUCAUUGUUAAAUGGCCCCAGACCAGAUCGUCAGGUGCCGCCGGUUUGAUGAAUGCUGUAAGUUGAGCCACUUUCCUAGCCAUCCCUAAUGGUGGGAUACCUGUUCUAAUAGAUUCUUCUAGAAUUUCUGUAUGGUGAAUUGAUUGUAAUAUUUGAAAAUAAUGUUUGAUUAAUUUCGGGUCUAGAUCGGUUGAAGGACUCGUCCCGACCGGAGUAAAUUUUAUGAGUUUCUGUGGGUCUGUAAGGUGAGUGGGCCUACCCAAUGGGCUAAACCUAUUUCUAAAAUCAUUAGCCAUUUCGUUAAAAGCUAAAAUGGAAUGAAAAUAAAAAAGGCCUAGGACUUUACAAAAAGAGGAGGGGGUUUGGGAGUUGGAGUUUAAAAAGAACCAACAUAGAGAAAAGAAGGAAAAGAUAAAAGAGAGAUGUAAAAUCAACUAAAUUAGAAUAAGAUUAAAACCAUAGCUUGUAAAAGAUGGAGAUUAAAACAAUAGAUGCAGUUAUAAUCAUAAGAUAAACAAAGAAUGUAAAAUAAUAAUAUCAUAACCGGUCAGCUGGUGCAAUGUCUUUUAGCUAGGAGGCAUGGUUAGCUUAGCAAGAAUAAAAUUGAUUUCCCCAAUCGGGACCGUCGAGUAGUCUUUAGCUGGGAGGUAGGCUGUGCUUGGGUUAGGAGACAGGAUGUCGUUGAUCCGCCCGAUGGGGUUGUAGAAUAUCCCAAAAACUGAUUACAGUCCAAAGAUAAAAAAAGCUGAACACGUAGAUGUCUCUGUACUCACCAGCCAAAAAAGCAUUUGAAGGAGAUUCGAUUAAAACCAAAGGGAAUGAGGUAAUUUCCACAGGUGUUAAAAAAGUAUAAAGUUUAAUCGCUCCGAAAUGCAGGUUGACCAAGUAAAAACAGACUUUGUUUAAAAGUAAGUUAAAACAAGCAAAGUAAAAUAAUUAAAAUAAGGUACAUCCAAGUUAAAAACUCCAAAGAUGCUAAAACAACAGUUCCCCAGAAUAACUGACUUUACAUCCACAGAAAUAGAGAGCGUUCCUAACGUUUCAGCCGGUUAGGCUUCGUCAG